GAGGAUGUAGCUCAAUGGUGGAGUGCAGGCUUUUCAUGCAUGAAGCCUUGCGUUCCAUCCUCA
rnacentral:tRNA from 1 species